rnacentral:lncRNA from 1 species
GAUGACGAAGAUCUUGGGGGGCUGGAUGAGCUCCGCCGGGUCGAGGAGGCCAGUGACGUGGUUGUAGAUUGGCUUCUCAAUAGCCUUGCCUUCUUUGAUUGCCUUCACUUGCUCAUACAUGAGAUCAAAGUCGUUUGCCUUGGGGUCCAGGGCAGUCACACCUUUCUCCUUCCUCCCGGUUCUGUCCAAGGAAUGGUAGUCAUCAAGGCAUAUGACCGUCGUCGUGUCGCUGAUGAGCGUGUUCGAGUCUGGGUUGCCGCCCUUGGGUGGCUCUGCAGCACCUCCAAACACGCUGGUGAGCCGGCGCAUGAAGGUGGAUUUCCCACAUCCCGAGUCUGCUGCCAGGCCAAUCACUAUUGGCUUCUCAACUGCGCAUGAGACCUGGAAGGUCCUUGCUCCAUGCCUCGUGGUACUCCUCCUGCUGCUUCUGGUUGUGAAGAGGAUGACUUGGUUCUGCCUGAAGCCUGAGUUUGGGAUGGUGGUGCAUGGGGAGCGCAGGGAUGUGGUGGUGUGUGGGCUGCAGAAUGCCAUGUUUGC